UACGGGGGGGGGCAAGCGUUGUUCGGAAUCAUUGGGCGUAAAGGGUGCGUAGGCGGUGCGGUAAGUCUGGUGUGAAAUCCCCGAGCUUAACUCGGGUCCCCGCGCCAGAGACUGCCCAGUGCUCGAGGUGUGGGGAGAGGAAAGUGGAAUUCCCGGUGUAGUGGUGAAAUGCGUAGAUAUCGGGAGGAACACCAGUGGCGAAGGCGGCACUCUGGGCCAGUACUGACACUGAGGAGCGAAAGCGUGGGGAGCGAACAGG
rnacentral:rRNA from 1 species